UUCUUCUUUCACUCACAAUUACCUGUCCAAUAAGCCGAACCAAAGAAACAGAUUCUAUCAUUUAGUCUAUAUCCGCAUCGGCAAUUUUUUACAGCGUAGUUGCUUCCGAUACCACUCCCGCGCUCCAUAGGGUCGUCGAACAUCCUGGUCUUUGAUGCUGAAAGCAGUAAAAAGCCAGUCUCUUUUCUCGCUUUACGAAGUUAGUCUCGUGCGAUGGGGUCGCUGAUUCUGUGGUCGAAUGGCUAUCUUUCGAGUCGAUCUUGUGAUAAAAGACGUUUGAGGGUCAAGGGUUCCUGAGAAACCGGGACGGCUGGUUGUGAGCUCAUAGCCACAUCUCAUAUCUUGAAGUCAAAUUGGACGGCUCUGGCCAGGUUCGUUAUAUUGCCAGAUUGUGUUGUAAUGUACAUGGUUUAGUGAAGCAUCCAAGGAACAUAUGUCCCAGUAACACCGAAUCCCGCGCCUCACGAUCUGGCCGUGAGGGUCAUUUAGCAUCCUCGCCAUUCAAUCUAUGCAAAAUGCUGGGAUCUGCGAGUCCAAGUGCCUUCCUGCGCCUAGCUACCUUCCUUGCUGACGAUCAUUACGCGUUCCUCUCGCAGCUCACCCUUGACAAGAUAGCAAGGGUCCUCAAAUCCUUAACCCAAGCUACGAAAUCCAGGGAAUCUAUUUCCCGGACCACAAAGCAUGGUG
rnacentral:sRNA from 2 species